AGUAUCCCAAUGUGUGGUAGUAGCUAGUCUUGGAUCACAUACACGGAACUUAGUUCCUAAGAGCGGUUUCAAUGAGACAACCCGCCAUGUACUCCUACACAAGCUCUCAUCGAUGCCUUUACCAAAUCAGGUUCAUCAUUUAACUUUUAUCACCAGAACACAUUCAUUCACUCCAGUUCAUCAUCCACAUAAAUCAGGCCUGACACAACUCUAAGCAUAGCAAGCAUAGCAGGGUAAGGCACACCAUGGCUCAAGCAUCUACCAGGUAUGCAAGGUUGUUUGGUUUAGCUAUUUACUGUGACAAUGGCAGGUCAUGGAGAGGAAUGGGUUCAACUACCGAAACAAGUAGCAUUUGAAACAUUGUGUCCUAAUGCAAUAAAUGAGAGCACGAGCGAGAACAUGGGAUUUUAUUGGAACGUUCAAAAGGGGUGCUUGCCUUGAUGAUCAACAUUGGGAAGUUCUCCUUCAUUCUGAUACUCGUAAGUAUCAUGCGGAGCAGAGCCUACUGCAAUGCAAACAAAAAAACAAUCAAUACACGGCAAGUGCAACAAUAUGAUGCAUGAUCAUGACAUGACAAGAAUAUGUUGAAUGAGCUAAUGCACCUAUCAACAGAUUGUUGAAGUUGGUCUGAAUCAAAGAUUCAAAUUCCACUUCAAAUAAGGUAUUUUCAAAUACCCAUUAAUUGAUUUGACCUGAUGAGCAGGUAUAACUUGUUAUAUCAUGCAUGAUAAUAUCACCAAUGGAUUCCUUGGAUUUUUCAGAUAAUUUUUCAUAUAUAUUUAUUUCAGUCUGAGUUACACAUUAUUUUCUAUGAUUUUUCAAAGUUUUAAACAAUUUUGGAAUUAUAUUAAAUCAGAAUUGUCUUUAUUGCAUCAGCCUUGCGUCAACAGGUCAACUGUUCGUUGCAAGAUCAAACCUAACUAAUGGGGGUCCACUGGUGAGUGACCCACACACUAAACAGAGUUAAAAUUAACUUUAAACCAAAUUAGUGGGGGUUGGGCCCACUCGGAGUGGUCAUUAGGUUAAUUAAAUUAUUUAGUAGAAUUAGUACCUAACCCAAAAUUAACCAGGGGAUGGGCCCCACAUGUCGGUGACCCACGGGAGUCAACCCCGUGGUCAAAACGGUCGGGCUCGCCGACGUUGAGUCGCCGGCGGAUAGAGACACGACGGAAGGAGUUGGAAACCCACCUGUGGUGACCAUUUGGCCGGCGGAUAGCACCUUCGAGACGAGCACACGCGCGCGCAUCCAACGGAACACAUCCCACGGGCUGAGGUGGCCCGGAACGUCGGCGGCGACGACCUUGGCGAACGCCAGAAUUCGGGCGCCGAUCAAAUCGACGCCACAACUAGCUAGGGGAGAAACCAACGGCACCUACGGGCUCCUCGAGUCCUCGUGAGCACGCCUACGUGCUCAUGUUCGAGCCUAUGCAGCCGUGGCUACGACAACACCAUCGCCGGCAGCGAGGAGCUUUCGGGCUCGAGCAAAACGGGGCUACGGCUAGAGAUCGACUGCGAGGAAAGGUGGAAAAGGUUCGCAAGCUCACAGUGGUUGCAGCAGUGUCGGAGGUGAGCUCGGGAACAGCUUGGUGAUGGCAAAUCGACGCGGCGAGCUUCGUUGACCCGAGGUGGAAGACGACCGCGGAACGGUGAUGGAGGGCUUCCGGC
rnacentral:lncRNA from 1 species